rnacentral:rRNA from 1 species
GGCCCUCUGUCCGGAAAACAUAGAGGGUCUAGCCUGCCCAGUGACGUGAAGUUAAACGGCCGCGGUAUCCUGACCGUGCAAAGGUAGCGUAAUCAUUUGCCUAUUAAUUGUGGGCUAGCAUGAAUGGCUUGACGAGGGUGGAGCUGUCUCCUGGUAGGAUAUGUAGAAAUUAUUUUUUGGGUGAAGAGCCUUAAAUAUAACUAAGGGACGAUAAGACCCUAUCGAGCUUUAGUGGUAUUUUAAAGUGUCGGUGAAGGUAAAUUUACAUUUUGUUGUUUAAAGGAAUCUUUGGUUGGGGCGAUCGUGAAGUAGGAAAAACCUUUAGUUUAAAGCGUUGGCCGGCGGGCUAGAGAUCUGGCAUAUGGUGCAGAUAGAAGGAAUAAGUUACCGUAGGGAUAACAGCGUAAUCUUUUUGGAGAGUUCUUAUUGAGAAAAGGGUUUGCGACCUCGAUGUUGGACUAAGGUUACCUAGGGGUGUAGCGGCUUCUGAGGGUUGGUCUGUUCGACUAUUAAAACCUU